rnacentral:misc_RNA from 1 species
UUGAAACCAAGAUGCCGUCAUCUUCAUUGUCAUAGACAAUCGCAGCUUUGAACCCAGCCUUUUGUGCUAUUCUAACUUUAUCAUCAAAGCUACACCCUCCUCUUAUAAUUAACACAUAUGGGGAGCUAAUAUUUGAAGCUUUUCCAACUUUAUUUCUCAAAUCUGAACACGCAUCAAGGGGCUCUGCCAAAUACAAUGCCCCACAUUCACCUGAGCUCUUAACUGCUGGAGCGAAAUUAGCUUCAACAUCAUCGAAAGACAAAGUAACGUUGCCGCCAAUCAAAACCACACUCGCCGAGGUCAUCGAACAGCAAGCAGAUAAAGAGAUGAAGAAAAUAACAACAACAACAACAACAACAACAAUCCGUUCCAUUGUCGAUUCCCAAAAGAAACGCACAAAACCCUAAAAGGAAUUAUUGAGAAAAAUAGAAUCAAAGAUGUGAUUUUAAGUAAGGGUUUUGAUUUGGAAGACGAUGGAUACAUC